rnacentral:rRNA from 1 species
CUACGUGCCAGCAGCCGCGGUAAUACGGAAGGUCCAGGCGUUAUCCGGAUUUAUUGGGUUUAAAGGGAGCGUAGGCGGACGAUUAAGUCAGCUGUGAAAGUUUGCGGCUCAACCGUAAAAUUGCAGUUGAAACUGGUUGUCUUGAGUGCACGCAGGGAUGUUGGAAUUCAUGGUGUAGCGGUGAAAUGCUUAGAUAUCAUGAAGAACUCCGAUCGCGAAGGCAUAUGUCCGGAGUGCAACUGACGCUGAGGCUCGAAAGUGCGGGUAUCGAACAGGAUUAGAUACCCUGGUAGUCCGCACAGUAAACGAUGAAUACUCGCAGUAUGCGAUAUAGUGUAUGCUGCCAAGUGAAAACGUUAAGUAUUCCACCUGGGGAGUACGCCGGCAACGGUGAAACUCAAAGGAAUUGACGGGGGCCCGCACAAGCGGAGGAACAU